UGUAGGUGGAAAGAAGAAGGUUUAACUUUUGAGGAUUUCCUUCAACUCCUGCUUUGGAUUCUCUUCUACAACAAGCACCUAGGAAAUGAUCUGUGGACAAGUGUACAAGACUAUUGUAUGUUGAGUCAGAUGUGAACACAGUGGUCUCCAAUCCUGGAAACAUUUUCUUCUAAUAAUUGCCACACUUACAUGACUUCAGAUCUGUACAUGGCGGGCUUCUGCAGAGCUCCAGUCCCAUUUCAACCACUGCUGAAUCCAGGUCUUCCUUACCUCCACUAUCUUCAUGGAACCUUCCAGCCCCACGUUCAGCUUGCUCUGCAUUUGGACUUGUCUAGCUCUGUAACCACGUCACUUAGUCACCCAAACUCUGAAGCUCUGGGUAAGAUUUAUUUCCCUCUUUCCUAUCCUGUCCCUGCCUCCAUUCCUUCCCCAGGCACACAAUCCGUUAGUCAUCAAGCUGUAUCUGUCCCCACCCAGCUCUAUUGCGAGGAACCAGGACUGCUAAAACCACAUCUUGGAAUAAACUUCCAGCUGGUUUGCCCCCAUUCAGGCUCUCUGUCCUGGAGAGCACAACCAGACUAAUGUUGUGAAUCAAUUCCUUCAAGGGUUUUUUUGUGCUUUUUGAUGGGCCAGGCAAUGUUCUAAGCUGGAGGCACAUCACCUCUCUGCCUUGCUCUGGCUUUCCCUUCUGCUUGGAGUUUUACUCUCCCUCUGGCCAAUAUUUCUGGUUUCAGAACCACUGACUACUCUACUUCUCCCAAUGGAUGAGGCCAUGGUAUAUCCACAUCCUUUCCCCUGUGACCUGAGGCUGGAAAGGUUUAAAGAGCU
rnacentral:lncRNA from 1 species